AGUGAACGCUGGCGGUAGGCCUAACACAUGCAAGUCGAACGGCAGCACAGUAAGAGCUUGCUCUUCCGGGUGGCGAGUGGCGGACGGGUGAGGAAUACAUCGGAAUCUACUUUUUCGUGGGGGAUAACGUAGGGAAACUUACUCUAAUACCGCAUACGACCUACGGGUGAAAGCAGGGGAUCUUCUGACCUUGCGCGAUUGAAUGAGCCGCUGUCGGAUUAGCUAGUUGGCGGGGUAAAGGCCCACCAAGGCGCCGAUCCGUAGCUGGUGUGAGAGGCUGAUCAGCCACACUGGAGCUGAGACACGGUCCAGACUCCUACGGGAGGCAGCAGUGGGGAAUAUUGGACAAUGGGCGCAAGCCUGAUCCAGCCAUACCGCGUGGGUGAAGGAGGCCUUCGGGUUGUAAAGCCCUUUUGUUGGGAAAGAAAAGCAGCAGGUUAAUACGACGCUGUUCUGACGGUACCCAAAGAAUAAGCACCGGCUAACUUCGUG
rnacentral:rRNA from 1 species